UACACUCCUACGGGAGGCAGCAGUGGGGAAUUUUGGACAAUGGGCGAAAGCCUGAUCCAGCCAUGCCGCGUGCAGGAUGAAGGCCUUCGGGUUGUAAACUGCUUUUGUACGGAACGAAACGGCCUUUUCUAAUAAAGAGGGCUAAUGACGGUACCGUAAGAAUAAGCACCGGCUAACUACGUGCCAGCAGCCGCGGUAAUACGUAGGGUGCAAGCGUUAAUCGGAAUUACUGGGCGUAAAGCGUGCGCAGGCGGUUAUGUAAGACAGUUGUGAAAUCCCCGGGCUCAACCUGGGAACUGCAUCUGUGACUGCAUAGCUAGAGUACGGUAGAGGGGGAUGGAAUUCCGCGUGUAGCAGUGAAAUGCGUAGAUAUGCGGAGGAACACCGAUGGCGAAGGCAAUCCCCUGGACCUGUACUGACGCUCAUGCACGAAAGCGUGGGGAGCAAACAGGAUUAGAUACCCCAGUAGUCCCAUG
rnacentral:rRNA from 1 species